rnacentral:rRNA from 1 species
CACGUAGGGCGCAAGCGUUGUCCGGAAUUAUUGGGCGUAAAGAGCUCGUAGGCGGUCUGUUACGUCUGCUGUGAAAACCCGGGGCUUAACCCUGGGCUUGCAGUGGAUACGGGCAGACUAGAGGCAGGUAGGGGAGAAUGGAAUUCCCGGUGUAGCGGUGAAAUGCGCAGAUAUCGGGAGGAACACCGGUGGCGAAGGCGGUUCUCUGGGCCUGACCUGACGCUGAGGCGCGAAGGCCAGGGGAGCAAACGGG